rnacentral:rRNA from 1 species
UGAAGAAGGUAUCUUUGGGUCUGGCUCUUGUCUAUGUUUCUUGGAACAGAACGUCACAGAGGGUGAGAAUCCCGUGCGAUGAGAUGAUCCAGGCCUAUGUAAAGUUCCUUCGAAGAGUCGAGUUGUUUGGGAAUGCAGCUCUAAGUGGGUGGUAAAUUCCAUCUAAAGCUAAAUAUUGGCGAGAGACCGAUAGCGAACAAGUACAGUGAUGGAAAGAUGAAAAGAACUUUGAAAAGAGAGUGAAAAAGUACGUGAAAUUGUUGAAAGGGAAGGGCUUGAGAUCAGACUUGGUAUUUUGUAUGUUACUUCUUCGGGGGUGGCCUCUACAGUUUAUCGGGCCAGCAUCAGUUUGGGCGGUAGGAGAAUUGCGUUGGAAUGUGGCACGGCCUCGGUUGUGUGUUAUAGCCUUCGUCGAUACUGCCAGCCUAGACUGAGGACUGCGGUUUAUACCUAGGAUGUUGGCAUAAUGAUCUUAAGUCGCCCGUCUU